rnacentral:rRNA from 1 species
CCUUGCAGUGAUAUCCUCAAGGAUCUGAAAGCACCCAAUCCUAUCUGACCCUGGAAGGGAAGUGAGGUCCGCCCUGGUUAGUACUUGGAUGGGAGACCACCAACGAAUGCCAGGUGCUGCAGGCU